rnacentral:rRNA from 2 species
UACGGAGGGUGCGAGCGUUGUCCGGAAUCACUGGGCGUAAAGGGCGCGUAGGCGGCGCGAGCAGUCGGCGGUGAAAGCCCGGAGCUCAACUCCGGGUCGGCCGUCGAUACUCUCGUGCUCGAGCACUGUAGAGGCAGGUGGAAUUCCGGGUGUAGCGGUGGAAUGCGUAGAGAUCCGGAAGAACACCGGUGGCGAAGGCGGCCUGCUGGGCAGUAGCUGACGCUGAUGCGCGACAGCGUGGGGAGCAAACAGG